AAAAGUCGUAACAAGGUAACCGUAGGUGAACCUGCGGUUGGAUCAUUAACAAAAAUGCUUAUUCUGCCAUGCUCCUUUGGGGGUAUGGUAGGGUAAAAACACCAUUUUGUCAACUGUUACGGUACUCUUGUAGUAUCAUUUUUCAACUAGCUACUUAUUGUAAUAAAACUUAAAGUUGUACUUUAAAAAAUUAAUAUUAAACAACUUUUGGCAACGGAUCUCUAGGCUCUU
rnacentral:misc_RNA from 1 species